GGGGGCGAAGCGAUUCGACAGAAAAGAGAUAAAAGAGGCAGCAUGCCGAGUUUGAGGAAAGGCUCGUAAAAAAUCCUCAAAAAACAACUGCCGAAACGGCAAAUUACCUUCCUGCCUAAUUAGGCAGGAACCCUAUAUGGUCCUUGUCUGUGGGGCCAUAAAUGGGUCGGAUAACAGACUGGUUCUACCCUAUCCGGUCUUGUAGGGUAGAAUGAGAUCAAAAGACCUGCUCUUCCAGAGAUUCUGUUCCUGGAAGUUCUGGAAGAAAAGCCAAAACAGGAACUAAGCAUGAAGAGACCUCUUUUGUGAUCUUUUCUGGACCCGGGCUCACUACCCGGCGCCUCCACUG
rnacentral:tmRNA from 1 species